AAAAAGGACGUGGUAGAAAGAAGGAAGCGAAGCGUAAACAGUAUAAUGAUUACUACCUCGCCAAGCCGCGCAUCCAGGACGCGACGCUUGCUGGAAAGCUGGUCAAGUAGGCCCUCGACUGCGAGUUUUAGCUGAUUGAUCCUGCGCAUUAGCCUAAUUGUUACAAUAAACAGACUUACAACAAUGAUGCUUUCUAUAUUGAAUUCUUAUAUCCGACCUCAUCAUUGCUUAGUUUCCUUUCCUGAUGUCAAGACACAAAGAAUUUGAGAUUCAAUUUAUCUUUUUUAGUUUUCA